UACGGGGGGAGCAAGCGUUGUUCGGAUUUACUGGGCGUAAAGGGCGCGUAGGCGGCGCCGCAAGUCGACUGUGAAAUCUCCGGGCUUAACCCGGAAAGGUCAGCCGAUACUGCGGGGCUAGAGUGCAGAAGGGGCAACUGGAAUUCUCGGUGUAGCGGUGAAAUGCGUAGAUAUCGAGAGGAACACCUGCGGCGAAGGCGGGUUGCUGGGCUGACACUGACGCUGAUGCGCGAAAGCUAGGGUAGCAAACGGG
rnacentral:rRNA from 1 species